AGAUCACACAGUCAUUCUGAGUCUGAGCCUCAAAGGGAUGGACUAAGAAGAGGGAGACACUUGGCUGAGGUCAGAGGAUGUGAAUUCCAGUCCCAAAUCCUGGAAGAAAGAGGACUCUACUCAGCAGAGACAUAAUUGAAAG
rnacentral:lncRNA from 11 species